CCCGCUGAACUUAAGCAUAUCAAUAAGCGGAGGAAAAGAAACUAACAAGGAUUCCCCUAGUAACUGCGAGUGAAGCGGGAAAAGCUCAAAUUUGAAAUCUGGCGGCCUUGCGGCCGUCCGAGUUGUCAUCUGGAGAAGCGUUUAUCCUCGUCGGACCGCGUACAAGUCUUCUGGAAGGGAGCGUCGUAGAGGGUGAGAAUCCCGUCUUUGACACUGACAACCCGCGCUUUUGCGAUGCCCUCUCGAAGAGUCGAGUUGUAUGGCAAUGCAGCUCAGAAUGGGUGGUACAUUCCAUCUUAAGCUUAGUAUUGACAACAGACCGAUAGCGAACCAGUGCCGUGAGGAAGAGAUGAACUGCGCUUUGAAAAGAGAGCUAAACAGGACAUGAAAGUGUUGAAAGCGAUACGUUUGAAGCCAGUCGCCUCGGCCGAGACUCAGCCUCGCUUCUGCUCGCUGCACUUCUCGACUGACCGGUCUCCAUCUCUUUUGACCGCACGAUAAAGGUCGGGAGAAUGUCGCUUCCUUCGUGAUGUGUUAUACACCUCGAUUCGGACACUGCGACUGAGAUUGACGAACUCAGCGCUGUGCGUCCACGAUGCUGCUAUAAUGGCUUUGACCGACCCGUCUUGAAACACAGAACGCCGCAG
rnacentral:rRNA from 1 species